GAUGAACGCUGGCGGCGUGCCUAAUACAUGCAAGUCGAGCGAAUGGAUUAAGAGCUUGCUCUUAUGAAGCUAGCGGCGGACGGGUGAGUAACACGUGGGUAACCUGCCCAUAAGACUGGGAUAACUCCGGGAAACCGGGGCUAAUACCGGAUAGCAUUUUGAACCGCAUGGUUCGAAAUUGAAAGGCGGCUUCGGCUGUCGCUUAUGGAUGGACCCGCGUCGCAUUAGCUAGUUGGUGAGGUAACGGCUCACCAAGGCAACGAUGCGUAGCCGCCCUGAGAGGGUGAUCGGCCACACUGGGACUGAGACACGGCACAGACUCCUACGGGAGGCAGCAGUAGGGAAUCUUCCGCAAUGGACGAAAGUCUGACGGAGCAACGCCGCGUGAGUGAUGAAGGCUUUCGGGUCGUAAAACUCUGUUGUUAGGGAAGAACAAGUGCUAGUUGAAUAAGCUGGCACCUUGACGGUACCUAACCAGAAAGCCACGGCUAACUACGUGCCAGCCGCCGCGGUAA
rnacentral:rRNA from 1 species